GAAGCAGUUGUGGAAAACUGCUUUAAAUGUCAUAGAGCACUCAGAAGGAAUUCAUAAAUGACCUCAUAAAGAAGUCCACUGUGGUUUCCCUGCAGAGGUGGGAAUAGAAUCAGAGUGCUAAGGAUUGAGGGAUUAAGAGGAGGUGAUUGUAUUAUUCCUCUUUUCAGAUAAUGGAGAGAGAGAAGAGAACAGCAGUAGCCGUUGCCAGAAAUAUUGAGCAAGGCGGAUUUAUUAGAUGAAGAUAUCAAAAUACUUUCCAUUGAGGAAACAGGUUGGAGGUGGGAGGCUGUAACCAUGCUUGAUUUUGUACCACCCUAACCUUUGCUUGAUCCAGGUUCCAGUCCAAUAUGCACCAUUCAGCCUGGUUGCAGCAUGUUAAGCAGCCCUGGAGGCAGCAGAUGAGGGAUCCUAUGAAGCAACUUUCAGACAUUCAGAACCAAGACAAAAAAAAAGAGAAUUAAAGUAAAAUAUGAUGUACCCAGGAGUUACAUCAGUGAACCAAAUACAGCCUCAAAUUUCGAUCUGUGCUUCACAGCAGCCAGCAAAAAGAACAAAACAUAUUUUGUUAGUUCAUAUAAAUAAAUAAAUUAAAAAUGCAUGAAUAAAUAAAUAAAGCAAACCAGUUUCUCGAUUCUGAAAUAUUUUCUGGAAGUGAGAACUGAAAGGAAUUUCCACCAUGGACCCACAAGCAGUUGUUGGUGGCAUAUAUAAUGAGUGCUGGGUGUUAAGGAAGCAAUGGUGAAGGAGAGACACCCUCCCGACCCUCAUGGUGCUUGCAGCCUAGUGGAGCUAUGAAAAGAUAGGCAAGUGAGUCCUAUGAUUGGAGAAGUAAUGAGAAGUAAUGAGAAGCGUCUUCUAAGCAUAGGGGUAAAGACUGCAAAGACCCUGAAGGGAGAAAGUAAUGGCCAUUCUGAGAACUGAAAGUUUGCACAGUGCACAGAGGGCAUGAAGAACGAAGGAAAGAGAUUUUUUUUUUUUUUUUUUUGCCCAAGAUGGCAAGUUGCUUAAAACCUAAAGCUCCUUUCAAUUCUUUACAAUCCAAGAUUAUAUGGAAUGGACUGGGAACAAAGAGAGGGACUGGCAUUUAAAGUCUUUUAUACACUUUGGAACAAAUGUUAUUCUCCAUUCAUCCUGACACUAAAUUGGUUAGCCAAACCCAAAGAUCUACUAAUAAUCCUGCUUUGGCAUGGGAGAAUGAGUGAGAUAAGGAGGCAAUAGAGGAGAUGAAUCGACAAAUGGAAGGAAUAGAAUUCUGGUUGAUGUCCUUGUCUCUAAGCUGUAGCAGCAAGUAUUUAUCCUAAUCAUGUGGUGUUAGCACGGAGAUGAGAAAGAGAGAAAGACAACAUCAUGCUUUGCUGUCUGUGUGUGAACUGAGUAACAGCUGUGAAGGAUCAGUCACCAAAAGACUUUGAAAGAAGAGGCUUGAUUGGUCACGGUAAUGAUGCUCCCCUGGCCAUGGAAGUUUAAUUGGGAGAAAAGAACAUCUGCUUAUACGAAAACAUAUUAUAUUCAGCCAUCCCUGCCCUGACUUUGGCCUUUAAAAACAGUGGCAUUAAUUAUCUCAACAAAUGAAUCUUCGGGAUAAAAAUAAUCUAAAUAUUAUUUUACGCUUACUACAUAUUUGCAACGUGCUAAGCUCUUUAUGGUUGCUACCACAAAAAACAUUUAUAAUAUGAGACUUCACAAGGUUAGGAACAGGCUUCACUUCAUUGUGAUGUGUGUAAGGUGACAGAGGACAUAUAACGAAUACGUGGAAGAACUAGGAAUUUGACCUUAGCUUCCAGACAUUUUGAGGAGGAUACACUAUGUCCAUCUUGCUUUCCUAUCAAGAAAAGUAUACCCAGUUUGUGCAGUAGCCCUGUACCAACAGAUACAUUACAGCAGGUUGUUUCCGUAUUUUGGCUAUUGUGAAUAGUGCUGCAAUAAACAUGGAAGUGCUGAUAUAUCUUUGAGAUCUUGACUUCAAACAAAAGAAGAAAAUCUUGCAAUAUAUGACAACACGGAUUAACCUGGAGGACAUUGUGCUUAGUGAAGUUAGCCAGUCACAGACUGACAAGUACUGCACGAUUCCACUUAUGAAGACUACAGUUCCUAUCUUCACAGGUGGCUGUUAGCUCUAAAUGAACUCAUUUAUUUUGAAAGCAUGAUUUAAAGUAUAGUUUUAAACUAUAAGCAUUUCAGAAGUGAUGACCCAUGACUCAAAUCUCAAAAAUAAAUGCUACAGUUCACAGUUGGAAUAUGGACACAAGAAAAAUAAUAGGCUUUGGCCAAAAAAGAGUGCAGUUCUGUGAUGAAUAUCAGCUUCAUCAACAUGCCCCAGGCACCGUGAUGUCCCUCCUCUGCUCUGCUGCAUAACAGGGUGGAGACCAAAUCCAACAGUAUGAACAAGCAUCCAUCAAAACCACAGUUCUAUUAUUGAGACCAUUUCUGAUUGAAUUUCCUCAGCAGACUAUCCAAGUCGUCAUGUUCAUCAAGGUAUUCAAUUUAAAUGACCAUUAAAACGAAAUUAAGUUGGUAUUAACCUUGUC
rnacentral:lncRNA from 1 species